rnacentral:lncRNA from 1 species
AUGAUUGAAAUAAACACAAUUAGAAAUGACAAAGGGAAUGUAAUUACCACUGACCCCACAGAAAUAGAAACAACCAUCAGAAACUACUGCAAACACUUCUGUGCAUACAAACUAGAAAACUUCAAAGAGAUGGAUAAAUUCCUGGACAAAUACACCCUCCCACAACUGAGCCAGGAAGAAAUUGAUUUGCUGAACAGACCAAUAACAAGCUCCGAAAUUGAAUCAGUAAUAAAUAACCUACCAAUCAAAAAAAGCCCAGAACAUGAUGGAUUCCCAGCCAUAUUCUACUAGAAGUACAAAGAAGAGCUGGUACCAUUUUUACAGGAACUAUUUGAAAAUAUUGAGGAGGAGGAACUCCUCCCCAACUCAUUCUAUGAGGCCAACAUCAUCUUGAUACCAAAAUCUGGCACACACACACACACACACACACACACACACACACACACACAAACUUCAGGCCAAUACCCUUGAUGAACAUCAAUGCAAAAAUCCUCAACAAAAUACGGGCAAACCAAAUCCAGCAGCACAUCAAAAAGUUAAUCCAUCAUGAUCAAGUAUGCUUCAUCCCCAGGAUGCAAGGUUGCCUCAACAUACACGUCAAUUAAUCUGAUUCAUCCCAUAAACAAAACUAAAGAUAAAAACCAUGUGAUUAUCUCAAUAUAUGCAGAAAAGGCUUUCAAUAAAAUUCAAGGCCUCUCCAUAUUAAAAACUCUAAAAAAUCUGGGUAUUGAGGAAACAUAGCUCAAAGUGAUGAGCUGUUUUUGUACCAGUAUCAUGCUGUUUUGGUUACUGUAGCCCUGUAGUAUAGUUUGAAGUUGGGUAACAUGAUGCCUCCAGCUUUGUUCUUUUUGCUGAGGAUUGCUUGGCUAUUAGGGCUCUUUUUUUUUUUGGUUCCAUAUGAAUUUUGAAAUAGUUUGCUCUAGUUCUGUGAGGAAUGCCAUUGGUAAUUUAAUAGGGAUAACUUGCAUCUGUAAAUUACUUUGGGCAGUAUAGCCAUUUUAAUGAUGUUAAUUCUUCCUAUCCAUGAGCAUGAAAUGUUUUUCCAUUUGUUUGUGUCUUCUCUGAUUUCUUUGAGCAGUGUUUUGUAAUUCUCCUAGAGAUCUCUUAGAGAUCUUUCACCUCCCUGGUUAGCUGUAUUCCUAGGUAUUUUAUUUUUUCUGUGUGUAGCAAUUAUGAAUGGGAUUAUGUUCUUCAUUUGACUCUCUGCUUUACUGCUAGGAAUUUUUGCACAUUGAUUUUGUAUGCUAAGACUUUGCUAAAGUUUAUCAGCAGAAGGAGCUUUGGGGCUAAGACUAUGGGGUUUUCUAGAUAUAGAAUCAUGUCAUCUGUAAACAGAGACAGUUUGACUUCCUGUCUAUUCCUCUCUUCCCUCCUCUAUUUGGAUGCCCUUCCAGUUUUGCACAUUCAGUGUAAUGUUGGCUGUGGGUUUGCCAUGGCUAGCUCUCAUCAUUUUGGCACUUCCGACUAGAAGUGCGAGAGGGGCCAGUGUUGUUGUUACCUGAAAGGUAAGUGCAGCCCACAAAAAUGCAGUGAAGAAGAAGAUAUAUGCAUAUGUUUAAGUUAAUACAAUUGAGAUACAUUUAGCAGACAGAAUCAAUAGAGUUGAUGAGUGACUGACUGGAUGUGUGGGGAGUUUAUAUCACUCCCAGGUUUUUGACUUGGGCAACCGGGCACUCAAGAAGGAAAAAGAGGAUCCAGGGAGAGGAACUUUUCUGAGGACUGGGGUAGGGCUGAACAGCUGCAUUCGAGACUGGUGGAGGGUGGGCUGGGCAUGGGAUGCACAAAUGGAAAUUCCACUGGGUCUGCAGCUCACACAUAGGCAUGACCAGCAUAGAGAUAGAGAGGCCCCAGUGCUGCUGAGUAACUGUGAUUCCCCAGGUGAUGGCAUCAGCUGAGAAGGGAAGGAAGCCCAUGUGAGGACACUGAAGAAGGAGUGAGCAGACAAUAAGAAGCCCACAGAAGACAGAGAAGGAACAACUAGAGGGAGAAGCCAAGGCAGGCAUGUGUGAUAACAUAUAGGAACUGAGGGAGAGGACAUUUCAAGAUGGAGGGGAUGCCAUACAACAGGACUAUGUGAUGGUUUUUGGCUGUGUCCAUAGGAAGUCACAACAGGCAAGGGAAAGAAACCAGAACCCAGUCAUGGAGUUAAGAAGUGAGUCAGAGAGGAGAUGGGUAGGGACAGUGAGGUAAGGCCUCUUUCUAAGGAAGUUUGGCUGAAGGAUAGACUAGCUGGACACAUGCUGGCUGUGUGGGGUAGAGGGAGGAAUGAUGGAGGGUAGGAGAGCCUUGAGCCUGCGAGAAGAGUCUCCUAGAAUAGAGAAGCUGAGGUUAAAGUUGUGGAAGACAGUGGGGAUAACUGAGUGACAGAUAAUCAGGAGAAGAAAAGGAGAUCCAGAAUCAUGACAGAGAGAUGACCUUUGCCAAGAGCACAGCCAUCUUUCACUGUCACAGAGAGGUAGGACAAAACGAUUGGUGUUCAAGAAUUGGUUUGUAGCACAAUAUUUUAACUAUGUCCUUUAAAAAGUUUCUCCACAGACACUACCCAAAGCAGUCCUUCACUACAGUGGCAGACAGACCUGAAAAUUUUCAUCUGAAGCAGCAGAGUGAACUGCAGAGUCAGGUCACCAACCAGUGUGGAGGCUAAAAGCGGGCCUCUUUGGGGAUUCCAGGUGGAAGUGUUGGACAUCUGUAGUAUUCCUGGUCUCAAAUCAUCCUGAUAUUCUUCAUUUUGUUAUUCACAUUGGACUAGGGCAAGGAAAUGAGUUCUGCAGGAACAAAGAUCACCACAACUGGCUCCCCUUCAACUAUGUUAGAUGGCAACUUGCCUUCAGUAUGGUGAAACACAUCAGUUAAGACUGGGGUUGUGCAUGGCAGGACUU